UACAGAGGUCUCAAGCGUUGUCCGGAAUCACUGGGCGUAAAGCGCGCGCAGGCGGCGAUCUACGUCUGGGGUGAAAGCCCGGAGCUCAACUCCGGGACUGCCUUGGAUACGGGAUCGCUUGAGGAUUGGAGAGGCAAGGGGAAUUCCACGUGUAGCGGUGAAAUGCGUAGAUAUGUGGAGGAACACCUGUGGCGAAGGCGCCUUGCUGGCCAAUUUCUGACGCUGAGGCGCGAAAGCGUGGGGAGCAAACAGG
rnacentral:rRNA from 1 species